rnacentral:rRNA from 1 species
UAGGGAAUCUUCCGCAAUGGACGCAAGUCUGACGGAGCAACGCCGCGUGAGUGAAGAAGGAUUUCGGUUCGUAAAACUCUGUUGUUAGAGAAGAACAGCGCAUAGAGUAACUGUUAUGCGUGUGACGGUAUCUAACCAGAAAGGGACGGCUAACUACGUGCCAGCAGCCGCGGUAAUACGUAGGUCCCGAGCGUUGUCCGGAUUUAUUGGGCGUAAAGCGAGCGCAGGCGGUUAGAAAAGUUUGAAGUGAAAGGCAGUGGCUCAACCAUUGUAGGCUUUGGAAACUGUUUAACUUGAGUGCAGAAGGGGAGAGUGGAAUUCCAUGUGUAGCGGUGAAAUGCGUAGAUAUAUGGAGGAACACCGGUGGCGAAAGCGGCUCUCUGGUCUGUAACUGACGCUGAGGCUCGAAAGCGUGGGGAGCGAACAGG